rnacentral:lncRNA from 1 species
AAAAUCUAUCCUAGGCACAUUUUUUUUUAUCUCCCUCUGGCAGAAGCUGAAAGGAGCAAUUUCAAUCACUUAUGCAUUUUGCAGACCUUUGGUCACAUCUACCCUUGCACCAUCCUGUUAGUCAAAGCAAGUCACUUUCCAAGUCAGGCAAGGACGUUUCAGUCAGAACUUUAGGCGACUCCAAGAUGGCCAAAUAGCAAGAGCUCCAGUCUACAGCUCCCAGUGUGAUCAACGGAGAAGACAAGUGAUUUCUGCAUUUCCAACAAAGGUACCUGAUUCAUUUUAUUGGAACUGGUUGGACAG